UUGUGGAGCUUUAACCUAUCUUGAAAGGGAAAAUUACUAUCUCCUAAUUUUUAUUAGUUACAACUUAAAACUAUUUUUGUUAUGGUUAUAGAGUUGUAUGGAGUCUUAAGAAGUCUUUUCUGAGCCAGGAAAGGUCGCCAUUUUGGCUAGUUUUACAUUAACUUGCACAGAAAAGAGUCAUCAGAGAAAAGGAACUCCCAAUUGCAAAAAAAAAAAUGUUUCCAUAAGAUCACUAUUGCAAUUGUAACCCUAACUAUGACAAGCAGCAUUAGAAAAAUGAUUCUGCACACUGACUAUUAUUUUGAGUGAAUAGGAUGGGGCAUGAUGUACUUAAUAGAGCUGAAUCCAGUGGUUCAUUGCCUAGGAAGUCCAGAGUCUCUUCUCCAUGAACUCCACCACCUCCUCGCUCUUUCAUUUGCCUCGUAGAGGGUCCUCCCCAACUCAUCCACUACUGCUUCACCCCUCUAGCAUCCCUCUUUUAUGAGGCACCAAACCUCCACAGGACUAAGGCCUCCCCUCCCAGUAA